UGGGGAAUAUUGCGCAAUGGGGGAAACCCUGACGCAGCAACGCCGCGUGAGCGAAGAAGGCCUUCGGGUCGUAAAGCUCUGUCAUCAGGGACGAAGGAAGUGACGGUACCUGAGGAGGAAGCCCCGGCUAACUACGUGCCAGCAGCCGCGGUAACACGUAGGGGGCGAGCGUUGUCCGGAAUUACUGGGCGUAAAGGGUGCGUAGGCGGUCUGCUAAGUCAGAUGUGAAAGACCUGGGCUCAACCCGGGAUGUGCAUCUGAGACUGGCGGACUUGAGGGCAGGAGAGGGAAGUGGAAUUUCUAGUGUAGCGGUGGAAUGCGUAGAUAUUAGGAAGAACACCAGUGGCGAAGGCGGCUUCCUGGACUGUAACUGACGCUGAGGCCCGAAAGCGUGGGGAGCGAACAGG
rnacentral:rRNA from 2 species